UCAGCGAGAAAGCGUUGCGCAGCAACGGCCCGUAGGGCGAAGCGCGCAGCGCUGAGUCAUCCUUCCCCCACCACCA
rnacentral:sRNA from 1 species